rnacentral:rRNA from 1 species
GACGAACGCUGGCGGCAUGCCUAAUACAUGCAAGUCGAACGCUGAAGCACUCUGCUUGCAGAGUGCGGAUGAGUGGCGAACGGGUGAGUAACACGUGGGAAAUCUGCCUAUAAGAGGGGGAUAACAUUCGGAAACGGAUGCUAAUACCGCAUAUAUUCUUGGACCGCCUGGUCCUUGAAAGAAAGACGGCUUUGCUGUCGCUUAUAGAUGAUCCCGCGGCGUAUUAGCUAGUUGGUGGGGUAAAGGCCUACCAAGACAAUGAUACGUAGCCGACCUGAGAGGGUGAUCGGCCACACUGGGACUGAGACACGGCCCAGACUCCUACGGGAGGCAGCAGUAGGGAAUCUUCCACAAUGGGCGAAAGCCUGAUGGAGCAAUGCCGCGUGAAUGAAGAAGGUCUUCGGAUCGUAAAGUUCUGUUAUUAGAGAAGAACAAGUCAAGGAGUAACUGUCGUGACUUUGACGGUACCUAACCAGAAAGUCACGGCUAACUACGUG